rnacentral:rRNA from 1 species
CCUACGGGAGGCAGCAGUAGGGAAUAUUGCUCAAUGGGGGAAACCCUGAAGCAGCAACGCCGCGUGGAGGAUGAAGGUUUUCGGAUUGUAAACUCCUUUUGUUAGAGAAGAUAAUGACGGUAUCUAACGAAUAAGCACCGGCUAACUCCGUGCCAGCAGCCGCGGUAAUACGGCGGGCGCAAGCGUUACUCGGAAUCACUGGGCGUAAAGAGCGCGUAGGCGGGAUAGCAAGUCAGAUGUGAAAUCCUAUGGCUUAACCAUAGAACUGCAUUUGAAACUGUUAUUCUAGAGUAUGGGAGAGGUAGGUGGAAUUCUUGGUGUAGGGGUAAAAUGCGUAGAGAUCAAGAGGAAUACUCAUUGCGAAGGCGACCUGCUAGAGCAUAACUGACGCUGAUGCGCGAAAGCGUGGGGAGCAAACAGGAUUAGAUACCCGGGUAGUC